rnacentral:rRNA from 1 species
GGCUGCAUGAGGACCAAACUGUCUCCUUUGACCAAUCAAUGAACCUGAUCUCCCAGUACAAAAGCUGGGAUAAAACCAUAAGACGAGAAGACCCUGUGGAGCUUUAAAUAUAACUACUAAUUAUAACUGCACCCCCAGGGCCCACAAAACCAAAAUAGUACACAUUUUUAGUUGGGGCGACUACGGAACCAAACAAAACUUCCACGACAACAGACCAACCCCCCCCCCCCCCAGGUAAACAUACCAACACCAUUUGACCCAGUAACACUGACCAACGAACCAAGUUACCCCAGGGAUAACAGCGCCAUCCUCUUCAAGAGCCCAUAUCGCCAAGAGGGUUUACGACCUCGAUGUUGGAUCAGGACCCCCAGGUGGUGCAACCGCUACCAA